GUUAAAACACCGGUUUUCAUACGAUCACCGAAGUUAAGCAACGUCGAGCCUGUUUAAUACCGAGAUUGGUGGCCGCUUGGGGGAUGCCAGGUGCUGUAAGC